rnacentral:rRNA from 1 species
AUUGAACGCUGGCGGCAGGCCUAACACAUGCAAGUCGAGCGGAGCGGCGGACGGGUGAGUAAUGCCUAGGAAUUUGCCUGUUAGUGGGGGAUAACGUCCGGCAACGGGCGCUCAUACCGCAUACUAUCAGAAGAGCCUAGGUCGGAUUAGCUAGGGGGUGGGGUAACGGCCUACCAAGGCGACGAGCCGUAACUGGUCUGAGAGGAUGAUCAGCCACACUGGAACUGAGACACGGUCCAGACUCCUACGGGAGGCAGCAGUGGGGAAUGUUGGACAAUGGGCGAAAGCCUGAUCCAGCCAUGCCGCGUGUGUGAAGAAGGUCUUCGGAUUGUAAAGCACUUUAAGUUGGGAGGCGUUACCAACAGAAUAAGCACCGGCUAACUUCGUGCCAGCAGCCGCGGUAAUUC